rnacentral:rRNA from 1 species
UACGUAGGGUGCGAGCGUUGUCCGGAAUUAUUGGGCGUAAAGAGCUCGUAGGCGGUGUGUCACGUCGGCCGUGAAAACCUGCAGCUUAACCGUGGGCGUGCGGUCGAUACGGGCAUCACUGGAGUUCGGCAGGGGAGACUGGAAUUCCUGGUGUAGCGGUGAAAUGCGCAGAUAUCAGGAGGAACACCGGUGGCGAAGGCGGGUCUCUGGGCCGUAACUGACGCUGAGGAGCGAAAGCGUGGGUAGCAAACAGG